AGAAGGUCCGGCUAACUUCGUGCCAGCAGCCGCGGUAAUACGAAGGGACCUAGCGUAGUUCGGAAUUACUGGGCUUAAAGAGUUCGUAGGUGGUUGAAAAAGUUGGUGGUGAAAUCCCAGAGCUUAACUCUGGAACUGCCAUCAAAACUUUUCAGCUAGAGUAUGAUAGAGGAAAGCAGAAUUUCUAGUGUAGAGGUGAAAUUCGUAGAUAUUAGAAAGAAUACCAAUUGCGAAGGCAGCUUUCUGGAUCAUUACUGACACUGAGGAACGAAAGCAUGGGUAGCGAAGAGGAUUAGAUACCCUCGUAGUCCAUGCCGUAAACGAUGUGUGUUAGACGUUGGAAAUUUAUUUUCAGUGUCGCAGCGAAAGCGAUAAACACACCGCCUGGGGAGUACGACCGCAAGGUUAAAACUC
rnacentral:rRNA from 1 species